CCUACGGGAGGCAGCAGUAGGGAAUAUUGCACAAUGGGCGAAAGCCUGAUGCAGCAACGCCGCGUGAGCGAUGAAGGCUUUCGGGUCGUAAAGCUCUGUCGUCAGGGAAGAUAAUGACGGUACUUAACGAAGAAGCCCCGGCUAACUACGUGCCAGCAGCCGCGGUAAUACGGAGGGUGCUAGCGUUAUCCGGAAUUACUGGGCGUAAAGGGUGCGUAGGGGGAUUCGUAAGUCAGAGGUGAAAGGCUAGGGCUUAACCGUAGUAAGCCUUUGAAACUGGGGAACUUGAGUGCAGGAGAGGAGAGUGGAAUUCCUAGUGUAGCGGUGAAAUGCGUAGAGAUUAGGAGGAACACCAGUUGCGAAGGCGGCCCUCUGGACUGUAACUGACACUGAGGCACGAAAGCGUGGGGAGCAAACAGGAUUAGAUACCCGAGUAGUC
rnacentral:rRNA from 1 species